GAAGAACUUGCUCAAAAGACAAGCAACUUGUCUGUAUACUACGAAUCACUGCAGAACAAUUUGAUUUCACUUUUGGAUCACGUAAGACUACCUAAUUUCAAUGAAAAACCGACACCUGACAACUUUGACACGUAUUUAUUCAAACUACAGACGCUCUGCAGCGACACCUAUCGGGAGGACAACAAAGCAAUAUUCUCAUCGGUGAAACAAGCUCUUCAGAAUUUUACCAUGCCUCUACAGCCCCCGACUGGAUGGGUAAAUUCUUGAAAUUCUCCAGAUAGGAAAACGACCGGAAAUUACGUUUCGUGGUAGAACUGAACUAAAACCUGAAAUGGACAUCUCACUAGUGCAGGAGUAUUCUUGCUGAAGAAGUCGCCACUUAUUCCCUCAAGGGGUCGUCUCAUUAGUAACGAAGUGCUCCUCUUUGUCAUCUGAACUUUCAAUCUGAAGGAACUCGUGGCAUCAAAUUGCACGUGUAGUUGCAUUAGAAAAUUCCAAAUUAAAAUUGUGUAUAAAUAAUCGUAAAUACAGCAGAAAUAAUUAAGAUAACACAGAAUAAUUAUAUUUUGGGUCACAAAACCUUCAAAAUUGAUUGGAAAAUGAAAUGUAAUAUUACGUAAUAUAUGAAACUGGUAAGAUUGGAUUGAAAAAAAUAGAAGCAAGGCAGUUUUAUGUACCUUGCCAUCUGUUUAUUUACUCAUUAAUAGACAAAGUUAAUAACCUUUUAAUCCAGUAACUAAAAUAUUCUAGUCAAAUUCCAAUAUUUCUUUCAAAAAUUAAAUGUGUUUGUUUUAUUACUAUUUAAAAUAUGAGACUCACGAGGUUAAAUUGAAAUAUUGGAAACAAGUAUAUAGUAGAGCAGUAUUAUGUAUUUCUCUCCAACUUUCUAUUCACUCAGUAUUAGGUGAAAUUAAUAACUGCCCCCUGGUGGCUCAGCGAUAAGUCUAAGGAGUUAUUAUGCUAAAAAUCUAGUUUCGAUACCAGCGAUGGGUACAACACGGAGAGACCAUUGUGUAACUUUGUGCUUAAUAACCCAACAAACAAAAUGAAUAACUUAUUUAAGCUAAAACAAAUAUGAUUUUCUAGUCAAAUUCCAAUAUUUUCGCAAGUUUAAUUGCGUGUUUUCCUAAAUUAUUUUAUUGUUUAAUCGUUUGAAGGUAUACAAGUAGUUUUUCGUUUGUUUCCAUUUUUCAAGUAUCCACAGCAAUUUAGGGAAGCCACCGUUCAUGUUAUGUAUUGUAAUCUUCCCGCCUGGCCAUUGGAAAAAAUAAUAAUAAUAGGUUCCUCUUUCUAAAAAUAUUGAGUAAAUUGCGGUUUCACAACCCAGAACACUGAGUUAUGUAUAUAUAUAUAUAUAAAUAAUUUAUAU